GCAUAUAUAUAUAUAUAUAUAUAUAUAUAUAUAUAUAUAUAUAUAUACCUGGUUGGUUAUCUCUCGAAUUGAGGAAGACAAUUGUCUUUGUGCGUUUUUGUGCACAAAGACAUCUGUGCUUGUAGAUUUAAGUGGAAAAGCCGAUGCACAGAGACAGUCCCACUCUCUCAGCAUUGGAAGCCUGGGUCCAGUGGCAGGAAAAGUCAUUACACUUGGAGACUUCCUCAGCUGCAUUGGAUGGCCAUGUUGUCUUUUGUGCUCCAACACGCCCUAAGCACUCCACAAUGCCUUGCUGCGUCGCCAUCUCAGCCGUUGAACCUUCUUGUUGGUUUCUUCAGCCUGUUCCGCUGAAACAGUCUUCACAUGCUGGGACUCCUCAUUCCCUGCCUGAGCUCCAGAAAGGAAGAAAGGAAAUGGAAUGCCAGCUGAAGAUAAUGAGAAGGUCACACACAGAGCAGAUGGAGAUCAAUCUGUAGAACACAGAGUGGAACACAAGUGAUCAGGCAGUAAUGCAGUCAGGUUCCCAAGAACCAGGACUGGAUUAGGCUGAUCUGAAGGCUCAAGUCUGGACCUGGAACAAAAUGAGACACUGGUAGAGCGUUAAUGGUUAACAAAAGGAUAUUUGCUUAGCCAUGACACGAAAAUGCCAUUCAUGGGGAAAGAGGCACAUUGUUGGUGGAGCUGUGAAUGAAUACAGCCACUCUGGAUGGCCGUGACCCAAGAGGUACUAAACUGUCCAUACCUUGGACCUCGUGCUAUCACUACUAGAAUAAACAAGAGAAGAAGCUUCUAUACGUCCA
rnacentral:lncRNA from 1 species